rnacentral:rRNA from 1 species
AUUGAACACUGGCGGCAGGCCUAACACAUGCAAGUCGAACGAGUGGCGGACGGGUGAGUAAUGUCUGGGAAACUGCCUGCUUGAGUGGGAUCACUACUGGAAAAGGUAGCUAAUACCGCAUACCAUCGGAUGUGCCCAGAUGGGCUUAGCUAGUAGGUGGGGUAAAGGCUCACCUAGGCGACGAUCCCUACCUGGUCUGAGAGGAUGACCAGACACAGUGGAACUGUGACACGGGCCAGACUCCUACGGGAGGCAGAAGUGGGGAAGAUUGCACAAGGGGCGCAAGCCUGAUGCAGCCAUGCCGCGUGUAUGAAGAAGGCUGUCGGGUUGUAAAGUACUUUCAGCGGGGAGGCGUUACCCGCAGAAGAAGCACCGGCUAACUCCGGGCCAGCAGCAGCGGUAAUUC